rnacentral:rRNA from 1 species
UUGAAAGGGAAACGAUUGAAGUCAGUCGUACCGGUGGGUAAUCAGCCUUUCGGCGUGAUUAUGUGGAGCGUGAGGAGUUAAACGCCCUCAUGCCUGCAUAUUCGUGUUCUUUGGGUGUACUUACCCGCAUGGUAGGUUAACAUCAAUUUCGAACGUCAUAAAAUGGUUGGAGGAAUGUAGCUUCGAUCUCGUAUUGAAGUGUUACAGCCUUCGGCAGAUGUGAUGAUCGGGAUUGAGGAUUGCAACGGAUACCCCUCGGGCUACCCGUCUGAUCUCUGAAAGUUACUCUGGUGCCGAAAGCUCGCUUACGGUCAUCAAAGUUGACGUUCAACAGGUUAGAACGGGAUAAAUUCGUUAAGGAUGUUGACGUA